GUCUUUAUUAAAAUAAUAACAAAAUGGUUUUCACUUGUUUCUGACACACACAGAAACGCGAUUUUUAACGGGGAUUUCGUAAAGUUACACGAAUUGGGUACCAAAAUUCUCAAUUAUUUUACAUGCACACGUGACAUAAUACAUACUUAAUAAUUCUUAGUUAUUGCUUCUAUGACAUUUCAAGUUUGUGAAAUAAAUUUACGUUCUAUAAAGGGGAUCUCGGUAAUUCUUGAAGCUUCCACUCGCUCUUGUCAAUACCGCAUUGCCGCGUUGGAAAUGGUAUAAAUUUAAUUCAUCUAACUUAUCUUUCUGGAUACCAAAUGUCAGAGUUGCAUUAACCCUUUUUACACCGUUUUUGCCAUAUUUCAUUUCCGUUUUUUAAUCCGAACAAAAUAAACGAAACUCGUUUUAAAAAUGAGAUCUGGGCAUUCGAGCUCCUAGUGUGGAUUAAAAGCGUUUAUUGGUGACACCAUAUGACUGCAAAUGUGUAGAUACCGUUAAUAAGAUAAUAUAUCACAUGUCACCUUCAAAUAACAUGUAUGAUGUCAAUUAAGUGCAUUACUAUUAGAGUGAUAAAACACAGCACAAAUUAGGCUUCAUGCUGGGUUUUAUUUCUCUUUAAGUAAUGCAGAUGAACCGCGCUUCUGUAUAUUAAUGACCUAGUAACUGAUAAAACUACUUUUUUUAAAAACGUGAAAUAUGUGAUAAUCAGAUCGAUAACAUAAACUAUUUAAAUCUGCUAGUAUAUCCGAUGUAAUAUAUUAAAAUUGUCUUUGACAGUGUUGACGUUCAGUUGUUCGUGGUGACGACCGCAUGCAUUUAUACAUCUCUUACACUUCUCAAGAUCUCUUUUCGGCUUUGGAAACGAUAUAAAUUAAAUGUCACCAACUAAUCUUUCAGGAUAUCGAUUGUCCGAGUUACAUAGUCCCCAUCGACACCGUUUAACCAUUUCUUAUCGUUUUUUUUUAAAGAGGAAAACAAAAGAAACUCGUUGGAAUAAAAGUGAACCUAAACAUGUAGCUUGUCUAGAAAAUGGCGGACAGGUCGUUGCUAACGAGUGCGCCCGAUUAAUCGAUCGCUGAUUGGUGGAUCAAUUCUAGUGGGCGGAGCGAUCAUAGAUAAGGCGUCAUGUCAAUUUUGACGGAACACAGUGUUUACCUACAUUUUACCCCGUACGGAAAGUGCAAUAAUAACAAAUACGAUUUCGGACGGACUCGUAACUUGAAAAAAGCAUGCGUCCUUUGGAUGCUCAUAUUCUUAAACUUUGCGUCUACGGCAAUUGUUUUGCGUCUAGGACGCAGGACUCAGAGGUAAAAAAUCACUGCGCGCAUUACAAUAAUAUUCAAAAUAUAUGAAUAACCUUUUUUUUUCUAAAUAAAACAACAUUAGAAUGUCUCGCUCCUAGCUUAAGUAUUCGUGGGAGCAAAUAACUAUUUAUCUAACACAUGUGAGCCCCCAUUUGUGACGUCAUGAAGACAGCUGGUCGAACCUAGGAGUGCUUCUCAGUGACGUAUAUCAUGUGGGGGAAUAGAUAGUUUUUAACCGUUUACGACCGUUUUGUUUGUUUAUAUUUCAUUUUUUUUGGCAGAUUUGGAUACAGUUUUUAAUACUCUGUCUAAAUACCAUAGCAAGUUUUAAGUAAUCGUUGUUGAUGUCAAGCAUGCGCAGAGACGAAGUUUAACGUGAUCAAACUUAGGCACACAGAGAAUACAUUAAUAGGUGUAGAAUAGGAUAUCACGUUAUAAGUAUUAAGAAUAGCCAUUAUGUCUUAAUUUUUCUAAAUGUUCCACUAAUUAUUUUCAAAUAAACUUUUUGCUGAAAGUAGAAACCAGAUGAAAACUGUCACACUAUGUUUGUGGUCUAAUGCAGAGUGACCAGGCCUGCCUUGAAGCUGUCCAAGGACCCGGCUAUUCAAUUAAAAUUACAGGAUAUUUUGAUAAAAAUAUGAAAUAUGGUAAAAAUGAAUUAUAAGAAAACAUAAGUUCAAACAAUCAUUAUUUCCCCAACUAGCCGUUCUCUUUUUCGCAUAAAUAGGGCCAUCAUGGUCUAGUCCGUCAAGGUUAUUGACCGUCGUGACCAGAAUAAAUAUCGAUCGCUUUUAAAUAAGUGCUCAUGUUAAAAAUAUUAUAAUAUAUUUGUUCUUUAAUGCAACGACUCGUACUCUGAAAAAAAAACAAGCAACGACAUAUACUGAUUAAAUAUUUAAACAACAUUAGGGUGGUGAAUGCUAUAUAAAACUAACGGCAUAUAUUGAUUUAAUACCAUAGCAUUCACCACCCUAAUGUUGUUCGUUUGAAACACUUUUCUUCUUUGUUUACUUUUCACCGGAAGCAGGAUUUCUAUAGGGUCACUACGGUCACAUUUUAAAACGGUAGAAACACGCAGUCCGGUUGUUAGAUACUUAUUCAAGUUUUCAUGCAAUUAAAUUUAAAAGCAUCAGCUGCUACCAAAUGUCAGUAAAUGUGUAUGUAUGAAUUUGCAUUAAAAAAACUAAGCUUUUUUAAAAAAUGAGCGCAUUUUUUCAAACAUGUAGAUUUCAUAAUAUACCUCUAUAAACUUAACAUUAUGUAAACUAGAACUCGAAUCUUUCUUUGGUGAUUAUUAAGCACACGUCACAAAUUAAUUGUACGAUUGAGUCUGCAAGUUAAGAAUAUUAAAUGUUGAAAUAUAAGGAACACAAAUGACAAAAUAAAUCGUCGUCAUGGUGGCGUAUCGGAGAUGGUGUCCGUCUAACGAACGGGCUGUCACGAAAAGCAGAAGAGGAUAUGAAAUUUGUCAGCGUUACAUAUCUCAACCUUCAAAAGCCGCAGACUUUGACAAAUAUCCUUAACCGUGAUCAAGAGAAGCUCUGCUCAACAAACCAAACGUCCCUCGAGUUUGAGGUGCGUUUUGAUGUACGAAUUGUAUGAAGUUCAUUACUCCUCAUACUUCUAAUGGGACACACGUGUUUAUUUCUCUUUUAAUCUAACAAAGAACGAUAUUGUUCGCUACCACAGAACAGCUGACAAGACUCCAACAGUCCAAGGGCACUUUUAGUGUCGCCCACGAGCCGUUUAUCAACUUCUGUCUGUACACGCCUUAUUGCGACACGUACAUUCAUUUAAGCAGAUUCUCCUACUUUUAGUCAUCUUGUCAUGAAGAAUAAAGACAUAUUGUGUCGUCGUAUUUCGACACAUUUUAGGUCUGUGGCGUAAAUACCCAGUCGUCCUAAGCUAUGUGAUAGACGUUAUGAGUUUUCACUCUUAUCAGUCAUGUUGUAGCGUUAUUGGCCUUAUUCAAUGUAUUAUUGUUUUUUACCUUUUUUAAUCAUAUCUUAUCUUGAGCAGCGUUAUUCAAUGUCUAAUUAUGUAAAAGGUACACGCCAAAUUUUAAUCUUGAAUAUUUCAGCACUAUAGCAGGCGCUUAGAAAGCUUUCUCCGAAGCCCAGAUGAAAGGUUAUGUCUUUCGAUGGAGCCAGACUGCGUUAACGAAAUGGGCAUUACGGCGAUGUACGAGAGACAUGUAUUCUUCAAAGUAUACAGGUACUAGUAUAAACAAUAAUUAUAUACUAAAUACUAUACUAAAAUGUUUAUAUUAAUCCAGGCUAGCUGAACGGGCAACGUUAUUAGAGACAGGUUCCGUCUUUGACUAUGUUCAGUCAACCUGGCUAAAAACACCGUAUGGACGCCGGAAGACUGGUCCAUGUACCGGCAAACAAUUAUAACUUACACAGUUACAGAAGCUCUGAAGGUGGCACUGUUGAACAUGUGGGUUGCCGACAACUGCCCAUUCUGUGUUGGUACUCCGGGUGCAAAUUAAGCUUGUAUGGGAGGGAUCCAGACAGGUCCGACGACAUACGUACGUCUAUUUGAAUCAGCAACUCGGCGGGUUGUGGGACAGACACGACGACGGCGCACCGAGGGAAAGAUCGGGGAGACCUAUAUUUUUGCGUAUUAAACCAGACAUUAAUUGACCCAUUAUAUCCGCAAAUUGUAACUCAAAUGCUUGAUACGUUUAAAUUUAAAAUAGUAACGUAAUCAUGUGUAAACAUAUUAGUUUAUAAUGUAUUAUUGUACAUGCAUUUAUAUAUUUGUGUUAUUUUAUGUUGUUUGUCAGUUCUACCACGAUAAGAUUAUAUAUAUAAGUUAUUUUGUUUUGUUUUAAAUCCCUUAUAUAUGCAAUAAACUUAUUUAAUUGGAGUCUGAAUUAAAUAACCAAUAACCAAUCAAAAACUUACAAUUGCAACCCAACGGUAUUAUUAUAUUUAAUAAAAUGAUUUUAUUGUGUGAUAGCAAAUAUUUGUAUAUGUGGUGAUACUGUUUUGUAUUUUUGAGACAUGCUUAUUCUUAAUAAUGAACUUAAUUGUAUCAAAAUAUAUGCAAACAAAAUAAAUAUAUUUUAUUGAAUU